GGAUGGGUGGCCGAGUGGUUGAAGGCACUGGUCUUGAAAACCAGCGAGGGUUAACGCCCUCCGUGGGUUCGAAUCCCACCCCAUCCGCCA
rnacentral:tRNA from 1 species